CCGAGAUCCUGUGGAACAUCCAGAUCCAGACCGACGAGAUGGUGAUGGCCAACCAGCCUGACACAGUGGUGGUGGAUAAACACCAGAAGACAAUGGUAGUGAUAGAUGUAGCAAUCCCAAGUGAUAGCAACAUCAGAAAGAAAGAA